AAUCCAUGUUGUUGUCUAUGGUGGGUAGACUCUUUUAUCGCUCCUAAGCUUCUAAAUAACAUUCGAAAUCCAACUAUUAGAAUGUGGUAAUCUCGUCCUUCAGCUU
rnacentral:snoRNA from 1 species